rnacentral:rRNA from 1 species
UACAGAGGGUGCAAGCGUUAAUCGGAAUUACUGGGCGUAAAGCGUGCGCAGACGGUUGCGUAAGUCAGAUGUGAAAGCCCGGGGCUCAACUCCGGAAUUGCCUUUAAGACUGCAUCGCUAGAAUUGUGGAGAGGUAAGUGGAAUUCCGAGUGUAGAGGUGAAAUUCGUAGAUAUUCGGAAGAACACCGGUGGCGAAGGCGACUUACUGGACACAUAUUGACGCUGAGGUGCGAAAGCGUGGGGAGCAAACAGG